rnacentral:misc_RNA from 1 species
GAUGAAGAACGCAGCGAAAUGCGAUAAGUAGUGUGAAUUGCAGAAUUCAGUGAAUCAUCGAAUCUUUGAACGCACAUUGCGCCCCUUGGUAUCCCGAGGGGCAUGCCUGUUCGAGCGUCAUUUCAACCCUCAAGCCCCCGGGUUUGGUGUUGGGGAUCGGCUCUGCCCUUCUGGGCGGUGCCGCCCCCGAAAUACAUUGGCGGUCUCGCUGCAGCCUCCAUUGCGUAGUAGCUAACACCUCGCAACUGGAACGCGGCGCGGCCAUGCCGUAAAACCCCAACUUCUGAAUGUUGACCUCGGAUCAGGUAGGAAUACCCGCUGAACUUAAGCAUAUCAAUAAGCGGAGGA